ACGGGAGGCAGCAGUGGGGAAUAUUGGGCAAUGGGCGCAAGCCUGACCCAGCAACGCCGCGUGAAGGAAGAAGGCUUUCGGGUUGUAAACUUCUUUUACCAGGGACGGAGAAAAUGACGGUACCUGGAGAAUAAGCCACGGCUAACUACGUGCCAGCAGCCGCGGUAAUACGUAGGUGGCAAGCGUUGUCCGGACUUACUGGGUGUAAAGGGCGCGUAGGCGGGAUGACAAGUCAGGUGUGAAAUCUAUGGGCUUAACCCAUAAACUGCACUUGAAACUGCCAUUCUUGAGUGUCGGAGAGGUAGAUGGAAUUCCUAGUGUAGCGGUGAAAUGCGUAGAUAUUAGGAGGAACACCAGUGGCGAAGGCGAUCUACUGGACGAUAACUGACGCUGAGGCGCGAAAGCGUGGGGAGCAAACAGGAUUAGAUACCCUGGUA
rnacentral:rRNA from 1 species